UACGAAGGGGGCUAGCGUUGCUCGGAAUCACUGGGCGUAAAGCGUACGUAGGCGGAUUGCUAAGUCAGGGGUGAAAUCCUGGAGCUCAACUCCAAAACUGCCUUUGAUACUGGCGACCUUGAGUCCGGGAGAGGUGAGUGGAACUGCGAGUGUAGAGGUGAAAUUCGUAGAUAUUCGCAAGAACACCAGUGGCGAAGGCGGCUCACUGGCCCGGUACUGACGCUGAGGUGCGAAAGCGUGGGGAGCGAACAGG
rnacentral:rRNA from 1 species